rnacentral:rRNA from 1 species
UACGUAGGUGGCAAGCGUUGUCCGGAUUUACUGGGCGUAAAGGAUGCGUAGGCGGACAUUUAAGUCAGAUGUGAAAUACCCGAGCUUAACUUGGGUGCUGCAUUUGAAACUGGGUGUCUAGAGUGCAGGAGAGGUAAGUGGAAUUCCUAGUGUAGCGGUGAAAUGCGUAGAGAUUAGGAAGAACACCAGUGGCGAAGGCGACUUACUGGACGUGUAACUGACGCUGAGCAUGAAAGCGUGGGGAGCAAACAGG